UAGCAAGAAAAUUUUUUAAAUUAGAUUUCUCGAAACCUAAGGAGCUACCUUAAUUUUGGUUUAGCCUUAGAUAAAGGUGGGUGUGGCAUAAUCCUAUUUAAAAUUUAAGGUAGAAAUUAAAUGUUAUUCGUUUUAGGUGAUAGCUAGUUAUAACAUAAAGAUAUAUAAGUAUCGGAUAUAAUUUUAUUAUAUGUUUAUACUAUAUACAUAUAAUGACUUAUUUUCUUAGUUAUGCGAGGGUAAGCUCGUAUAAAUUUAAUUUAAUUAAAAUUAUAUAUGAAUCUAGGCUUGAAAUUAGCCAUGGUUUGGAAUUUGUUAAAAAUGCAUAUAUAUACAAAAACUUUGUAACAUAUUAAAUUUAUGUUAUUCAAUUACGUAAUCAAGGCAUGGUUGAUUUAUGCUAAAAUGAGUAUUAUUAUAAGCUAAAACAAAAAAUAAAUUAAAUUUUUUUAAAAAUUUUUUAUAAAUAUUAUAAAAUAUAUCAUAGGAACUCGGCAAAGAUUUAGCUCCGCCUGUUUAGCAAAAACAUGUCUCUUUG
rnacentral:rRNA from 1 species